rnacentral:rRNA from 1 species
AUGUGGUUUAAUUCGAUGCAACGCGAAGAACCUUACCUAGACUUGACAUCCCGGGAAUUCUUAGGAACUAAGAAGUGCCUUCGGGAGCCCGGUGACAGGUGCUGCAUGGCUGUCGUCAGCUCGUGUCGUGAGAUGUUGGUUAAGUCCCGCAACGAGCGCAACCCCUAUCUUUAAUUGCCAUCAUUCAGUUGGGCACUUUAGAGAGACUGCCGGUGUUAAGCCGGAGGAAGGUGGGGAUGACGUCAAGUCCUCAUGGCCUUUAUGUCUAGGGCUACACACGUGCUACAAUGGGUGGUACAAAGAGCAGCUAACUCGCGAGAGCGCGCCAAUCUCAGAAAGCCAUCCUCAGUUCGGAUUGGAGUCUGCAACUCGACUCCAUGAAGUUGGAAUCGCUAGUAAUCGCGGAUCAGCACGCCGCGGUGAAUACGUUCCCGGGCCUU